CAGCAGCCGCGGUAAUACGUAGGGCGCAAGCGUUGUCCGGAAUUAUUGGGCGUAAAGAGCUCGUAGGCGGCUUGUCACGUCGAUUGUGAAAGCCCGAGGCUUAACCUCGGGUCUGCAGUCGAUACGGGCUAGCUAGAGUGUGGUAGGGGAGAUCGGAAUUCCUGGUGUAGCGGUGAAAUGCGCAGAUAUCAGGAGGAACACCGGUGGCGAAGGCGGAUCUCUGGGCCAUUACUGACGCUGAGGAGCGAAAGCGUGGGGAGCGAACAGGAUUAGAUACCCUGGUAGUCCACGCCGUAAACGG
rnacentral:rRNA from 1 species